ACCCUUGUAGCUCAACUGGAUCGAGCACUGGUCUUCGAAACCAGUAAUACGGGUUCAAAUCCCGUCAAGGGUA
rnacentral:tRNA from 1 species